rnacentral:lncRNA from 1 species
GACCCAAAACUAUAAUUUACAUUAUCGCUUCUCCAUGCAUGCAUGCGCUCUUCAAGAAUUCUGACGAAAUGUAUCUCUCUCGCGCUAUCCCUCUCUCUCUCUCCCCUUUAUAAUCUUUCUCAAUUUUCUGUCGUCAAAGUUUAGCUACUCAAGCAAGCAAGCAAAAGUGAAGAUAGGGAGAUUCCAAGAAGGCGACGGCACAAAAAUUAAUCACGACGCGGAAUCGAAGAACAAAUCGUGCUCCAUAAAAUCUCAGGGCGUUUCCUCCCGUGGAGUUCUUGCUAAGAUUCUUUCCCCUUCUCUGGUGCAGCAGGCAACCGGCCGGCUGGCCGGGAAAUUGAUUGAUUAGUCGUAGUGGCUGCCAAACAAACACCAGAGGGAGAAAAAGGCCACCGCCUGCUUUCGUUCCCGUGCAAAAAGGAAGGGUUUUAUUUCUGUCACAAAGUUGUUGAGAGGCGAAGAUAUGAUAUGCUUUUGUUUAUUCAUUUUUAUUUUUUAUUUUUGCAUGGAGGAGGAGAAGAAGAAAGCAUCUGUUCCACUCUUGCCUUUUUGACAGCGCUGAGGUGUCCAAAUGGGAGUUAUUUAUGUCUCUCGCUUUAGUCCAUGAUUAAACGCGGGAUGCUAGUGUUUGUCCAUAUUUGCGAAAGCUAAAGUGUGGAUUCAUCAUCUGGGUUUAUAUAUUUCUUAAAGAAAAGAGCACUGCCGUGUAAAAUUAUAGUGGUAUCAAAACUGGGCCUCCUUUGAUUCAGUUUUGAAGUAUUGUGUUCCUUGCAAAAUUUUCCUAUGCCACUUAUUUGAUUUGGUGAUUGAAAACUGUAGAAACUUGCCAAUCGGCUACUCUGAAUUUAUUUCUUUAGAGAGCUCGACAUGCAAUGCUGUGGUAUCUAAUUUCUAUAUAUAGUUUACUGUCCAUACAAUGUUUUUCUAACCAUGGGAAUCAAAGAGGUCCCCAUUGCACGGAAGAAGAUGCAGAGCUAAAUACCUGCAAGUUGAACAGAACAAUACAAAGAUGCAGACAUCGGCGGCGAAAAGCGCAUGCAGCAAGAGGGAUCUAGGGAAGGUGCACGUUUCGAUGGCAAGAGAUUGCAUCAGCCGUCAGCCAAGCCGUAGCUACCCACUCUGUUUCUUCCUGCAGUUUCUCACACCAGGAAAAGGAAAAGGAAAAAAAUAAAGCUUUUGACCCAUGAAUUCUUCUGCCGAUUCCAGGAAACGCAAACGCCGUCAUUUUCGUUCAGGCACGCGAAGCAUUCGAUUUGCCCAGCACAAACAAAAGCCGCACGCCAUGAAUCAUUGUUUCUGUUUCUGAAGAAGUCGAGCAAGAAGAGCCUACACACAAACAAAAGGCACACACACACACCUCGAUCUUCUUCUUGUUUCUGAAGAAGUCGAGCAAGAAGAGC